rnacentral:rRNA from 1 species
CUACGGACGCACCAGUGAGGAAUAUUGCACAAUGGGGGGAACCCUGAUGCAGCAACGCCGCGUGGAGGAUGACGCAUUUCGGUGUGUAAACUCCUUUUAUAUGUCAAGAAAAUGACGGCAGCAUAUGAAUAAGCACCGGCUAACUCCGUGCCAGCAGCCGCGGUAAUACGGAGGGUGCAAGCGUUACACGGAAUCACUGGGCGUAAAGGACGCGUAGGCGGGUUGGAAAGUCGGGUGUGAAAUCCUACAGCUUAACUGUAGAACUGCACUGGAAACUUCUAAUCUAGAGUAUGGGAGGGGGAGAUGGAAUUAGUGGUGUAGGGGUAAAAUCCGUAGAUAUCACUAGGAAUACCUAAAGCGAAGGCGAUCUCCUGGAACAUUACUGACGCUAAGGCGUGAAAGCGUGGGGAGCAAACAGGAUUAGAUACCCCUGUAGUC